AGUGAACGCUGGCGGCGUGCCUAAUACAUGCAAGUCGAACGGAGUGGCGCACGGGCGAGUAAUGUAUAGCUAAUCUGCCCUAUGCUAGAGGACAACAGUUGGAAACGGCUGCUAAUACUCCAUAGUGUUGGUGGAGGCUAUAUUGUAUCAGCUAGGUGGUGAGGUAAUGGCUCACCAAGGGUAUGACGCAUAACUGGUCAGAGAGGAUGAUCAGUCGACCUGGAACUGAGACACGGUCCAGACUCCUACGGGAGGGAGCGGUAGGGAAUAUUGCUCAAUGGGGGAAACCGUGAAGCAGCAACGCCGCGUGGAGGAUGACACUUGUCGGAGCAUAAACUCCUUUUGUUAGGGAAGCGUUACCUAACGAAUAAGCACCGGCUAACUCCGUGCCAGCAGCCGCGGUAAUAC
rnacentral:rRNA from 1 species